GAUUUUUUGCCAUACUAUACUAUGACUUUUUUUUCUGAUUUUUGGUGCUCACAUGCAGUACUCAGGCUUUGACUCGAGCGUUGGGAAGGUGGUGAGCUACGAGUCUGCGACCACAACGCGGAUCUGUGGGAAACCGAUCUUAGACAACAACGCCGUCAACCUGUUCUCCUCCGUGCUCAUCGCACUCAUCCUGCCCGGGCUGGCGUGGGGGAUGUGGCCUCGAUAGACGAGGAGAGAUCUCUAAGACAUUUGUUGGUGUGAUCACACACACACUGUGUAUUAUGGGUCUCUGAUCAUGACACAUAGUGUUUAAACUACACGAUGAGCACGCAUUUAUCUGGCAGAACAACAGAACUUCACAUCUACUCGACUAACUUCAUCUUUCUUUAUGAUGAUGUCCAACUCCUUCGUUUGUUUGUCCUGAUGUAUCGAGCGCAGAUUUCUGCCCGUCUCUGAUAUUUGAAUAAAUCCUGUCAAAGUUUAAA